UACGUAGGUGGCGAGCGUUGUCCGGAAUCAUUGGGCGUAAAGGGAGCGCAGGCGGGCGUGUAAGUCUUUCUUAAAAGUGCGGGGCUCAACCCCGUGAUGGGAAAGAAACUACAUGUCUUGAGUACAGGAGAGGAAAGCGGAAUUCCCAGUGUAGCGGUGAAAUGCGUAGAUAUUGGGAGGAACACCAGUGGCGAAGGCGGCUUUCUGGACUGCAACUGACGCUGAGGCUCGAAAGCCAGGGGAGCGAACGGG
rnacentral:rRNA from 1 species